UACAGAGGGGGCAAGCGUUGUUCGGAAUUACUGGGCGUAAAGGGCGCGUAGGCGGCCUUCUAAGUCAGACGUGAAAUCCCUCGGCUCAACCGGGGAACUGCGUCUGAGACUGAAAGGCUUGAAUCCGGGAGAGGAAUGCGGAAUUCCAGGUGUAGCGGUGAAAUGCGUAGAUAUCUGGAGGAACACCGGUGGCGAAGGCGGCAUUCUGGACCGGCAUUGACGCUGAGGAACGAAAGCGUGGGGAGCGAACAGG
rnacentral:rRNA from 1 species